rnacentral:misc_RNA from 1 species
GUGAGUCAUCGAAUCUUUGAACGCACAUUGCGCCCGCCGGUAUCCCGGCGGGCAUGCCUGUUCGAGCGUCAUUUCAACCCUCAGGCCCUGCCUGGCGUUGGGGUCCUGCGCCUGCAGUCCCCGAAAGACAGUGGCGGGUGCGCCCUACGACCGAACGCAGUAGCGUAUCUCGUUCUGGUUCGGGGCGCCCUCCGGCCGUAAAACUCCUUUCUCUCAUGGUUGACCUCGGAUCAGGUAGGAAUACCCGCUGAACUUAAGCAUAUCAAUAAGCGGAGGA